GAUAGGGUGACAGUAUUCUAGACAGUGUGAUAGGGUGACAGUAUUAGAGACUAGACAGUGUGAUAAGGUGACAGUAUUCUAGAAGGUGUGAUAGGGUGACAGUAUUAGAGACUAGACAGUGUGAUAGGGUGACAGUAUUCUAGACAGUGUGAUAGGGUGACAGUAUUAGAGACUAGACAGUGUGAUAGGGUGACAGUAUUAGAGACUAGACAGUGUGAUAUGGUGACAGUAUUCUAGACGCUGUGAUAGGGUGACAGUAUUAGAGACAGUGUGAUAGGGUGAUAGUAUUAGAGACGGUGUGAUAGGGUGACAGUAUUAGAGACUACACAGUGUGAUAGGGUGACAGUAUUAGAGACUAGACAGUGUGAUAGGGUGACAGUAUUAGAGACUAGACAGUGUGAUAUGGUGACAGUAUUAGAGACUAGACAGUGUGAUAGGGUGACAGUAUUAGAGAUUAGACAGUGUGA
ensembl:lncRNA